UACGGGGGAGCAAGCGUUGUUCGGAUUUACUGGGCGUAAAGGGCGCGUAGGCGGUCAGCACAAGUCAGUUGUGAAAUCUCCGGGCUUAACUCGGAAAGGUCAACUGAUACUGUGUGACUAGAGUGCAGAAGGGGCAACUGGAAUUCUCGGUGUAGCGGUGAAAUGCGUAGAUAUCGAGAGGAACACCUGCGGCGAAGGCGGGUUGCUGGGCUGACACUGACGCUGAUGCGCGAAAGCCAGGGAGCGAACGGG
rnacentral:rRNA from 1 species